CUACGUGCCAGCAGCCGCGGUAAUACGUAGGUCCCGAGCGUUGUCCGGAUUUAUUGGGCGUAAAGCGAGCGCAGGCGGUUAGAUAAGUCUGAAGUUAAAGGCUGUGGCUCAACCAUAGUUCGCUUUGGAAACUGUCAAACUUGAGUGCAGAAGGGGAGAGUGGAAUUCCACGUGUAGCGGUGAAAUGCGUAGAGAUGUGGAGGAAUACCGAAGGCGAAGGCAGCCCCUUGGGAAUGUACUGACGCUCAUGUGCGGAAGCGUGGGGAGCAAACAGGAUUAGAUACCCUGGUAGUCCACGCUGUAAACGCUGUCGAUUUGGGGAUUGGGCUUUAAGCUUGGUGCCCGUAGCUAACGUGGUAAAUCGACCGCCUGGGGAGUACGGCCGCAAGGUUAAAACUCAAAUGAAUUGACGGGGGCCCGCACAAGCGGUGGAGCAUGUGGUUUAAUUCGAUGCAACGCGAAGAACCUUACCUACUCUUGACAUCCAUGGAAUCUUGUAGAGAUAUGA
rnacentral:rRNA from 1 species